rnacentral:rRNA from 1 species
GACGAACGCUGGCGGCGUGCUUAACACAUGCAAGUCGAACGGAAAGGCCCUGCUUUUGUGGGGUGCUCGAGUGGCGAACGGGUGAGUAACACGUGAGUAACCUGCCCUUGACUUUGGGAUAACUUCAGGAAACUGGGGCUAAUACCGGAUAGGAGCUCCUGCUGCAUGGUGGGGGUUGGAAAGUUUCGGCGGUUGGGGAUGGACUCGCGGCUUAUCAGCUUGUUGGUGGGGUAGUGGCUUACCAAGGCUUUGACGGGUAGCCGGCCUGAGAGGGUGACCGGCCACAUUGGGACUGAGAUACGGCCCAGACUCCUACGGGAGGCAGCAGUGGGGAAUAUUGCACAAUGGGCGGAAGCCUGAUGCAGCAACGCCGCGUGCGGGAUGACGGCCUUCGGGUUGUAAACCGCUUUCGCCUGUGACGAAGCGUGAGUGACGGUAAUGGGUAAAGAAGCACCGGCUAACUACGUGCCAGCAGCCGCGGUGAUACGUAGGGUGCGAGCGUUGUCCGGAUUUAUUGGGCGUAAAGGGCUCGUAGGUGGUUGAUCGCGUCGGAAGUGUAAUCUUGGGGCUUAACCCUGAGCGUGCUUUCGAUACGGGUUGACUUGAGGAAGGUAGGGGAGAAUGGAAUUCCUGGUGGAGCGGUGGAAUGCGCAGAUAUCAGGAGGAACACCAGUGGCGAAGGCGGUUCUCUGGGCCUUUCCUGACGCUGAGGAGCGAAAGCGUGGGGAGCGAACAGGCUUAGAUACCCUGGUAGUCCACGCUGUAAACGGUGGGUACUAGGUGUGGGGUCCAUUCCACGGGUUCCGUGCCGUAGCUAACGCUUUAAGUACCCCGCCUGGGGAGUACGGCCGCGAGGCUAAAACUCAAAGGAAUUGACGGGGCCCCGCACAAGCGGCGGAGCAUGCGGAUUAAUUCGAUGCAACGCGUAGAACCUUACCUGGGUUUGACAUGGAUCGGGAGUGCUCAGAGAUGGGUGUGCCUCUUUUGGGGUCGGUUCACAGGUGGUGCAUGCCUGUCGUCAGCUCGUGUCGUGAGAUGUUGGGUUAAGUCCCGCAACGAGCGCAACCCUUGUUCACUGUUGCCAGCACGUUAUGGUGGGGACUCAGUGGAGACCGCCGGGGUCAACUCGGAGGAAGGUGGGGAUGACGUCAAGUCCUCAUGCCCCUUAUGUCCAGGGCUUCACGCAUGCUACAAUGGCUGGUACAGAGAGUGGCGAGCCUGUGAGGGUGAGCGAGUCUCGGAAAGCCGGUCUCAGUUCGGAUUGGGGUCUGCAACUCGACCUCAUGAAGUCGGAGUCGCUAGUAAUCGCAGAUCAGCAACGCUGCGGUGAAUACGUUCCCGGG